rnacentral:rRNA from 1 species
UGCGAACUCCUACGGGAGGCAGCAGUGAGGAAUAUUGGUCAAUGGGCGAGAGCCUGAACCAGCCAAGUAGCGUGCAGGAUGACGGCCCUAUGGGUUGUAAACUGCUUUUAUACGGGGAUAAAGUUAGGGACGUGUCCCUAUUUGCAGGUACCGUAUGAAUAAGGACCGGCUAAUUCCGUGCCAGCAGCCGCGGUAAUACGGAAGGUCCGGGCGUUAUCCGGAUUUAUUGGGUUUAAAGGGAGCGUAGGCCGGAGAUUAAGCGUGUUGUGAAAUGUAGGAGCUCAACUUCUGCACUGCAGCGCGAACUGGUCUUCUUGAGUACGCACAACGUGGGCGGAAUUCGUGGUGUAGCGGUGAAAUGCUUAGAUAUCACGAAGAACUCCGAUUGCGAAGGCAGCUCACGGGAGCGCAACUGACGCUGAAGCUCGAAAGUGCGGGUAUCGAACAGGAUUAGAUACCCUAGUAGUCCAGAUG